AUGAAACUAAAAUAGAGCUAAAAUUGAGCUGACUUCCUGCAUAAGUGAGAAAUUCAUUUUUGAAAUAAAAUCACGGUUGCUAUUGUACAACAGAGCUCUCAUUUGACUUGUGAGUAUGGAGGAUUUUAUCCUUAGUAAGCACAGAGUGCCAGCGAAUUUACACUGAUGCUUCAAUUAAAUCUGAAUUCUGAAGAUAAAGGAAAUAAGGACCCUGUGAAAACUAAGAUCGUCGCCCUCCUUUUUAUAGCUUUUCUAAGGAACAAGAGUGUAUGUCUUGAUGCACGCUGCAGCUAAACUUCUUAAUGUACUCUGAGGUCGGUCACCUGAGAGAGGAGCAAGGCUUUUGAACGGGGUGGUCGCACGUGUUCUGUGCGAGGCAGCAGCUGGAUAGGAGGGAACGAUGCUGUGUGGAUGCUGAUGGGGGGAAGCUGGAGUGCGAGAUUGUACCUUGUUAGGCAGAAGAGAAUAAAAGAUGGAGAUUUGUUGACCUGUGGGUGUUGAAAAGCUUAUAGGUCGCCACUUACUGACUUGGGCUUUGAGAAGACCGUUGGAGGAACCGCUGUCGGGACCCGUUGGGAUUCCUGAGCUACACGUGACAUGACCCGAUUCUUCUUUUCCCUUGUUAUUUAUGUCACUGCAAAGGGUCUGUAAGCACAAACAGACCAAAAGGGAACGCUGCGUUUGUAUUUAUGUAACGCAAGGGCCAGGAAUGUUCUGGUGCUACCAUCCACUUACUCCGGGGAUCUCUUCAAUUUGGUAACUGCAUUGCAAGAGGCUUGGCUCGUUCUUCUGGUGUCUCCAGCGAAGGUCCUCGUGAGCCGCUCCGGCAGAGACAGGGACUGCUCAGCUGCUGUGCCGUGGCGGAUCCUGCAACCGGCGGUGCAGCCGUGGCCUCUAGCCUGGGCACGCUUCUGCCGUGAGCCAGGCCAUGGACUUUGGACAAGGGAAAAACUAAAGAGUGUUUCAGUGACAUGGAGAGAAGAAGGAGAAAAAGGUCCUGCGCGUGGGCUCAGACAGCCUGGAAGCGCCGGCAGCAGUCAGCAGGAGGAGAGUGUCGCCGGGAUGUGCCGCUGCAAGGCCGAGAUAACCCAGCUCCUCGUCUUGCCCUUGGCUGCUAGGGUCUGCGUGCAGGCGGAGCUCUCCUGGCGCGGGGCGCUGCACAACGCCAUGCGCAGCCGUACCCCGAUGGCCGAGCGGAGAAAUCUGCGCUGCCGUGCUGUACGCUCGGUACGAGACACGUUUCUGGAUCAGUAAUCUAUCAUAAUUUUGUUGGACAGAAGGGAGUAGCACCAGGUUUCUUUCUUCUGGAGGAGAGAGAUUUUGAUUAAUUUUUCCCCUUCUCUUCAGGGUUAGCACUUUGCAUUAUAUAUGUUUCAAGGCAGGGAAAUUGCUUGCUUGACAGCUGUGGAUAAAACAUGAAACUUUAGAUAAUGUUUUAAAUUCACCAGGGACAAACCAGCUUCAAUGUAAUUGAUAAAUUAAACCGAAUUCAAAUAUCA
rnacentral:lncRNA from 1 species